rnacentral:rRNA from 1 species
UGCAGUCGAGCGCACUCUUCGGAGUGAGCGGCGGACGGGUUAGUAACGCGUGGGAACGUGCCCUUCUCUAAGGAAUAGCCACUGGAAACGGUGAGUAAUACCUUAUACGCCCUUCGGGGGAAAGAUUUAUCGGAGAAGGAUCGGCCCGCGUUAGAUUAGAUAGUUGGUGGGGUAAUGGCCUACCAAGUCUACGAUCUAUAGCUGGUUUUAGAGGAUGAUCAGCAACACUGGGACUGAGACACGGCCCAGACUCCUACGGGAGGCAGCAGUGGGGAAUCUUGGACAAUGGGCGCAAGCCUGAUCCAGCCAUGCCGCGUGAGUGAUGAAGGCCUUAGGGUCGUAAAGCUCUUUCGCCAGAGAUGAUAAUGACAGUAUCUGGUAAAGAAACCCCGGCUAACUCCGUGCCAGCAGCCGCGGUAAUACGGAGGGGGUUAGCGUUGUUCGGAAUUACUGGGCGUAAAGCGCACGUAGGCGGAUCAGAAAGUAUAGGGUGAAAUCCCAGGGCUCAACCCUGGAACUGCCUUGUAAACUCCUGGUCUUGAGUUCGAGAGAGGUGAGUGGAAUUCCGAGUGUAGAGGUGAAAUUCGUAGAUAUUCGGAGGAACACCAGUGGCGAAGGCGGCUCACUG